GAGUGACGCUAACCGGCAAAGGGGACGGCCUAACGACCGGCGACGAGUUCAUGACUGGGUG
rnacentral:rRNA from 1 species